GCCGCUUCGCUUUCUGCCGGAUCAACAUAAUUGAUGAUCUCUGUCCAAUACAAUUCUUAUACCACUGAAGCAUUGGAGACAUAAGGUCCAUGCUUGGAAAUUGCUGCGAUCCGCCAAUCCACUAUUCAUUUAUUUAUAAAAUAUUUUACCAGGAAGGAUACAAUAUAAUUUUCAAGUAUGUCCUGGGUCCACAAAUGUUGCAUUGAAUCCAGUGCAUCCCUAUGCAAAUACUAGUGGAA